GACUCGUUCACCAGAGCACCUACUAUGUUCCAGGUGGUAUCAUAAGAACUUGGGAGACAUCACUAAACAAAAUAGAAAAAUCCCUGCCCUUAUGGAGCUGACAUUCUAGUGGGGGCUUGGUUUUUUUCCUUGGGUACUGGGUUUGUUUUUCCAUGAUGAGCAUAUCCUAUGAUGCACUAUAGCACUCAAGCAAGAUGCCUGAAGCAAAGGAGCUCUUCUUUUGAAAUGUUCUAGGCCAAAGUAAUGAUUCAUGGAUUCAGCACACUUUCCUUUGUUGAAAAGCACUGCUUGUUCCCCCUCAAAGCUAUGUGAGAGGCUGUGUAGGAGAGAGUGGAGAGCAGGUAGCCUACCGGACCUACAGUUCACCAUUUCAG
rnacentral:lncRNA from 10 species